GGCGAAAAGAACCCCGGCGAGGGGAGUGAAAAAGAACCUGAAACCGUGUACGUACAAGCAGUGGGAGCCUCUUAAUGGGGUGACUGCGUACCUUUUGUAUAAUGGGUCAGCGACUUAUAUUCUGUAGCAAGGUUAACCGAAUAGGGGAGCCGAAGGGAAACCGAGUCUUAACUGGGCGUUAAGUUGCAGGGUAUAGACCCGAAACCCGGUGAUCUAGCCAUGGGCAGGUUGAAGGUUGGGUAACACUAACUGGAGGACCGAACCGACUAAUGUUGAAAAAUUAGCGGAUGACUUGUGGCUGGGGGUGAAAGGCCAAUCAAACCGGGAGAUAGCUGGUUCUCCCCGAAAGCUAUUUAGGUAGCGCCUCGUGAAUUCAUCUCCGGGGGUAGAGCACUGUUUCGGCAAGGGGGUCAUCCCGACUUACCAACCCGAUGCAAACUGCGAAUACCGGAGAAUGUUAUCACGGGAGACACACGGCGGGUGCUAACGUCCGUCGUGAAGAGGGAAACAACCCAGACCGCCAGCUAAGGUCCCAAAGUCAUGGUUAAGUGGGAAACGAUGUGGGAAGGCCCAGACAGCCAGGAUGUUGGCUUAGAAGCAGCCAUCAUUUAAAGAAAGCGUAAUAGCUCACUGGUCGAGUCGGCCUGCGCGGAAGAUGUAACGGGGCUAAACCAUGCACCGAAGCUGCGGCAGCGACACUAUGUGUUGUUGGGUAGGGGAGCGUUCUGUAAGCCUGUGAAGGUGGCCUGUGAGGGUUGCUGGAGGUAUCAGAAGUGCGAAUGCUGACAUAAGUAACGAUAAAGCGGGUGAAAAGCCCGCUCGCCGGAAGACCAAGGGUUCCUGUCCAACGUUAAUCGGGGCAGGGUGAGUCGACCCCUAAGGCGAGGCCGAAAGGCGUAGUCGAUGGGAAACAGGUUAAUAUUCCUGUACUUGGUGUUACUGCGAAGGGGGGACGGAGAAGGCUAUGUUGGCCGGGCGACGGUUGUCCCGGUUUAAGCGUGUAGGCUGGUUUUCCAGGCAAAUCCGGAAAAUCAAGGCUGAGGCGUGAUGACGAGGCACUACGGUGCUGAAGCGACAAAUGCCCUGCUUCCAGGAAAAGCCUCUAAGCAUCAGGUAACAUCAAAUCGUACCCCAAACCGACACAGGUGGUCAGGUAGAGAAUACCAAGGCGCUUGAGAGAACUCGGGUGAAGGAACUAGGCAAAAUGGUGCCGUAACUUCGGGAGAAGGCACGCUGAUAUGUAGGUGAAGCGACUUGCUCGUGGAGCUGAAAUCAGUCGAAGAUACCAGCUGGCUGCAACUGUUUAUUAAAAACACAGCACUGUGCAAACACGAAAGUGGACGUAUACGGUGUGACGCCUGCCCGGUGCCGGAAGGUUAAUUGAUGGGGUUAGCGGUAACGCGAAGCUCUUGAUCGAAGCCCCGGUAAACGGCGGCCGUAACUAUAACGGUCCUAAGGUAGCGAAAUUCCUUGUCGGGUAAGUUCCGACCUGCACGAAUGGCGUAAUGAUGGCCAGGCUGUCUCCACCCGAGACUCAGUGAAAUUGAACUCGCUGUGAAGAUGCAGUGUACCCGCGGCAAGACGGAAAGACCCCGUGAACCUUUACUAUAGCUUGACACUGAACAUUGAGCCUUGAUGUGUAGGAUAGGUGGGAGGCUUUGAAGUGUGGACGCCAGUCUGCAUGGAGCCGACCUUGAAAUACCACCCUUUAAUGUUUGAUGUUCUAACGUGGGCCCCUUACCGGGGUUGCGGACAGUGUCUGGUGGGUAGUUUGACUGGGGCGGUCUCCUCCUAAAGAGUAACGGAGGAGCACGAAGGUUGGCUAAUCCUGGUCGGACAUCAGGAGGUUAGUGCAAUGGCAUAAGCCAGCUUGACUGCGAGCGUGACGGCGCGAGCAGGUGCGAAAGCAGGUCAUAGUGAUCCGGUGGUUCUGAAUGGAAGGGCCAUCGCUCAACGGAUAAAAGGUACUCCGGGGAUAACAGGCUGAUACCGCCCAAGAGUUCAUAUCGACGGCGGUGUUUGGCACCUCGAUGUCGGCUCAUCACAUCCUGGGGCUGAAGUAGGUCCCAAGGGUAUGGCUGUUCGCCAUUUAAAGUGGUACGCGAGCUGGGUUUAGAACGUCGUGAGACAGUUCGGUCCCUAUCUGCCGUGGGCGCUGGAGAACUGAGGGGGGCUGCUCCUAGUACGAGAGGACCGGAGUGGACGCAUCACUGGUGUUCGGGUUGUCAUGCCAAUGGCACUGCCCGGUAGCUAAAUGCGGAAGAGAUAAGUGCUGAAAGCAUCUAAGCACGAAACUUGCCCCGAGAUGAGUUCUCCCUGACUCCUUGAGAGUCCUGAAGGAACGUUGAAGACGACGACGUUGAUAGGCCGGGUGUGUAAGCGCAGCGAUGCGUUGAGCUAACCGGUACUAAUGAACCGUGAGGCUUAACCUU
rnacentral:rRNA from 1 species